rnacentral:other from 1 species
CGUUCCCUGCGGUGUUCGAGACAGUUGGCAAUUUCUCUGAACCAAUGCAUACGUGCAAGGCCGCGGCUAACCUGGGUGUGGGUGUGCGCGCAACACGUCUUGUGUGCCCAAAGCAUCUUCAGCUGCAGCCAUCUUGAACCCAGGUUCAAGAGUCCGCCGGUUGUCACGGCACAGGCGGGGAACAC